AGCAACAAAUGCCCUGCUUCCAGGAAAAGCCUCUAAGCAUCAGGUAACAUCAAAUCGUACCCCAAACCGACACAGGUGGUCAGGUAGAGAAUACCAAGGCGCUUGAGAGAACUCGGGUGAAGGAACUAGGCAAAAUGGUGCCGUAACUUCGGGAGAAGGCACGCUGACACGUAGGUGAAGUGAUUUACUCAUGGAGCUGAAGUCAGUCGAAGAUACCAGCUGGCUGCAACUGUUUAUUAAAAACACAGCACUGUGCAAACACGAAAGUGGACGUAUACGGUGUGACGCCUGCCCGGUGCCGGAAGGUUAAUUGAUGGGGUCAGCGCAAGCGAAGCUCCUGAUCGAAGCCCCGGUAAACGGCGGCCGUAACUAUAACGGUCCUAAGGUAGCGAAAUUCCUUGUCGGGUAAGUUCCGACCUGCACGAAUGGCGUAAUGAUGGCCAGGCUGUCUCCACCCGAGACUCAGUGAAAUUGAACUCGCUGUGAAGAUGCAGUGUACCCGCGGCAAGACGGAAAGACCCCGUGAACCUUUACUAUAGCUUGACACUGAACAUUGAGCCUUGAUGUGUAGGAUAGGUGGGAGGCUUUGAAGCGUGGACGCCAGUCUGCGUGGAGCCGACCUUGAAAUACCACCCUUUAAUGUUUGAUGUUCUAACGUGGACCCGUGAUCCGGGUUGCGGACAGUGUCUGGUGGGUAGUUUGACUGGGGCGGUCUCCUCCUAAAGAGUAACGGAGGAGCACGAAGGUUGGCUAAUCCUGGUCGGACAUCAGGAGGUUAGUGCAAUGGCAUAAGCCAGCUUGACUGCGAGCGUGACGGCGCGAGCAGGUGCGAAAGCAGGUCAUAGUGAUCCGGUGGUUCUGAAUGGAAGGGCCAUCGCUCAACGGAUAAAAGGUACUCCGGGGAUAACAGGCUGAUACCGCCCAAGAGUUCAUAUCGACGGCGGUGUUUGGCACCUCGAUGUCGGCUCAUCACAUCCUGGGGCUGAAGUAGGUCCCAAGGGUAUGGCUGUUCGCCAUUUAAAGUGGUACGCGAGCUGGGUUUAGAACGUCGUGAGACAGUUCGGUCCCUAUCUGCCGUGGGCGCUGGAGAACUGAGGGGGGCUGCUCCUAGUACGAGAGGACCGGAGUGGACGCAUCACUGGUGUUCGGGUUGUCAUGCCAAUGGCACUGCCCGGUAGCUAAAUGCGGAAGAGAUAAGUGCUGAAAGCAUCUAAGCACGAAACUUGCCCCGAGAUGAGUUCUCCCUGAGACUUAAAGUCUCCUGAAGGAACGUUGAAGACGACGACGUUGAUAGGCCGGGUGUGUAAGCGCAGCGAUGCGUUGAGCUAACCGGUACUAAUGAACCGUGAGGCUUAACCUUACA
rnacentral:rRNA from 1 species